UACGAAGGGAGCUAGCGGUGUGCGGAGUCACUGGGCGAAAAGCGCACGUAGGCGGAUUUGUCAGUCGGGGGUGAAAUCCCGAGGCUCAACCUCGGAACUGCCUCCGAUACAGCAAAUCUCGAGUCCGGGAGAGGUGGGUGGAAUUCCUAGUGUAGAGGUGAAAUUCGUAGAUAUUAGGAAGAACACCAGUGGCGAAGGCGGCCCACUGGCCCGGUACUGACGCUGAGGUGCGACAGCGUGUGGAGCAAACAGG
rnacentral:rRNA from 1 species